rnacentral:sRNA from 1 species
GUUUCAAUUCCUCAUAGGCAGGCUAUCGGCAGUAUAAACCCUAUUGCAUUUGUCAGUCAUAUGCGUUAG